rnacentral:rRNA from 1 species
UGGGGAAUAUUGCACAAUGGGCGCAAGCCUGAUGCAGCAACGCCGCGUGAGGGAUGACGGCCUUCGGGUUGUAAACCUCUUUUAGCAGGGAAGAAGCGAAAGUGACGGUACCUGCAGAAAAAGCGCCGGCUAACUACGUGCCAGCAGCCGCGGUAAUACGUAGGGCGCAAGCGUUAUCCGGAAUUAUUGGGCGUAAAGAGCUCGUAGGCGGUUUGUCGCGUCUGCUGUGAAAUCCCGAGGCUCAACCUCGGGUCUGCAGUGGGUACGGGCAGACUAGAGUGCGGUAGGGGAGAUUGGAAUUCCUGGUGUAGCGGUGGAAUGCGCAGAUAUCAGGAGGAACACCGAUGGCGAAGGCAGAUCUCUGGGCCGUAACUGACGCUGAGGAGCGAAAGGGUGGGGAGCAAACAGGCUUAGAUACCCUGGUAGUCCACCCGUAAACGUUGGGAACUAGUUGUGGGGUCCAUUCCACGGAUUCCGUGACGCAGCUAACGCAUUAAGUUCCCCGCCUGGGGAGUACGGCCGCAAGGCUAAAACUGCAAAUGAAUUGACGGGGUCAUAGCUGUUUCC